rnacentral:rRNA from 1 species
CCUACGGGUGGCUGCAGUGGGGAAUAUUGGACAAUGGGCGAAAGCCUGAUCCAGCCAUGCCGCGUGUGUGAAGAAGGCCUUCGGGUUGUAAAGCACUUUCAGUGGGGAAGAAAGCCUUGGGGCUAAUACCCUCGAGGAAGGACAUCACCCACAGAAGAAGCACCGGCUAACUCCGUGCCAGCAGCCGCGGUAAUACGGAGGGUGCGAGCGUUAAUCGGAAUUACUGGGCGUAAAGCGCGCGUAGGCGGUCUGAUAAGCCGGUUGUGAAAGCCCCGGGCUCAACCUGGGAACGGCAUCCGGAACUGUCAGGCUAGAGUGCAGGAGAGGAAGGUAGAAUUCCCGGUGUAGCGGUGAAAUGCGUAGAGAUCGGGAGGAAUACCAGUGGCGAAGGCGGCCUUCUGGACUGACACUGACGCUGAGGUGCAAAAGCGUGGGUAGCAAACAGGAUUAGAUACCCCUGUAGUC